rnacentral:rRNA from 1 species
AGUGAACGCUGGCGAUAGGCCUAACACAUGCAAGUCGAACGGCAGCACAGUAAGAGCUUGCUCUUACGGGUGGCGAGUGGCGGACGGGUGAGGAAUACAUCGGAAUCUACUUUUUCGUGGGGGAUAACGUAGGGAAACUUACGCUAAUACCGCAUACGACCUACGGGUGAAAGCAGGGGAUCUUCGGACCUUGCGCGAUUGAAUGAGCCGAUGUCGGAUUAGCUAGUUGGCGGGGUAAAGGCCCACCAAGGCGACGAUCCGUAGCUGGUCUGAGAGGAUGAUCAGCCACACUGGAACUGAGACACGGUCCAGACUCCUACGGGAGGCAGCAGUGGGGAAUAUUGGACAAUGGGCGCAAGCCUGAUCCAGCCAUACCGCGUGGGUGAAGAAGGCCUUCGGGUUGUAAAGCCCUUUUGUUGGGAAAGAAAGGCAGCAGGUUAAUACCCCGCUGUUCUGACGGUACCCAAAGAAUAAGCACCGGCUAACUUCGUG